rnacentral:rRNA from 1 species
AACGAACGCUGGCGGCAGGCCUAACACAUGCAAGUCGAACGCGUCCUUCGGGACGAGUGGCAGACGGGUGAGUAACGCGUGGGAACGUACCCUUUGGUUCGGAACAACAGCGGGAAACUGCUGCUAAUACCGGAUAAGCCCUUCGGGGGAAAGAUUUGUCGCCAGAGGAUCGGCCCGCGUUAGAUUAGCUUGUUGGUGAGGUAAUGGCUCACCAAGGCUACGAUCUAUAGCUGGUCUGAGAGGAUGAUCAGCCACACUGGGACUGAGACACGGCCCAGACUCUUACGGGAGGCAGCAGUGGGGAAUCUUGGACAAUGGGCGAAAGCCUGAUCCAGCCAUGCCGCGUGAAUGAUGG